rnacentral:rRNA from 1 species
UACGUAGGGUGCGAGCGUUGUCCGGAAUUAUUGGGCGUAAAGAGCUUGUAGGCGGUUUGUCGCGUCUGCUGUGAAAAUCCGGGGCUCAACCCCGGACUUGCAGUGGGUACGGGCAGACUAGAGUGCGGUAGGGGAGACUGGAAUUCCUGGUGUAGCGGUGAAAUGCGCAGAUAUCAGGAGGAACACCGGUGGCGAAGGCGGGUCUCUGGGCCGAUACUGACGCUGAGGAGCGAAAGCGUGGGGAGCGAACAGG